rnacentral:rRNA from 1 species
AUACGGAGGAUGCAAGCGUUAUCCGGAUCUAUUGGGUUUAAAGGGUGCGUAGGCGGUUUGCUAAGCGGGAGGUGAAAUGCCGGCGCUCAACGUCGGAAGUGCCUCCCGAACUGGUGGACUUGAAUGACUCUGCCGUGGGAGGAAUGUGUAGUGUAGCGGUGAAAUGCUUCGAGAUUACACAGAACACCGAUUGCGAAGGCAUCUCACGAAGGGUUGAUUGACGCUGAGGCACGAAAGCGUGGGGAUCAAACAGGAUUAGAUACCCUGGUAGUCCACGCAGUAAACGAUGAUGGCUAACCGCUGGGCUUAUCAGUUCAGUGGCCAAGCGAAAGCGAUAAGCCAUCCACCUGGGGAGUACGACCGCAAGGUUGAAACUCAAAUGAAUUGACGGGG